GGAGAGAUGCGAGAGUGGUCGAAUCGGUCGGUUUCGAAAACCGUUGAGCCGCAAGGCUCCGGGGGUUCGAAUCCCCCUCUCUCCG
rnacentral:tRNA from 1 species